GGCUCGGUGGUUUAGUGGUUAGCAUGUCUGCCUCGCACCUCUGGACUUGGGGGUUUGAAUCCCACCUCCGCCC